GCGUCCGUAGCUCAAUUGGAUAGAGCACUGGUCUUCGGAACCAGGGGUUGGGGGUUCGAGUCCCUCCGGGCGUAC
rnacentral:tRNA from 1 species